AUUGAACGCUGGCGGCAGGCCUAACACAUGCAAGUCGAGCGGAUGAAGGGAGCUUGCUCCUGGAUUCAGCGGCGGACGGGUGAGUAAUGCCUAGGAAUCUGCCUGGUAGUGGGGGAUAACGUCCGGAAACGGGCGCUAAUACCGCAUACGUCCUGAGGGAGAAAGUGGGGGAUCUUCGGACCUCACGCUAUCAGAUGAGCCUAGGUCGGAUUAGCUAGUUGGUGGGGUAAAUGCCUACCAAGGCGACGAUCCGUAACUGGUCUGAGAGGAUGAUCAGUCACACUGGAACUGAGACACGGUCCCGACUCCUACGGGAGGCAGCAGUGGGGAAUAUUGGACAAUGGGCGAAAGCCUGAUCCAGCCAUGCCGAGUGUGUGAAGAAGGUCUUCGGAUUGUAAAGAACUUUAAGUUGGGAGGAAGGGCAGUAAGUUAAUACCUUGCUGUUUUGACGUUACCAACAGAAUAAGCACCGGCUAACUUCGUG
rnacentral:rRNA from 1 species